GCGGGUUCGAUUCCCGCGGCAGGCACUGCCCGGGCCGCCGCCGGACUGCCAUCUCCCGAGGGCUUUCACCGUGGGAAAGGCGGUAUCCCGCAUCCCUCCCUAGCCCCGCGCUCACUUGUCACAGAGUCACAGCACUGCUGUUCAACCUAAGCCUCCCGUCACUUGCUGCCAGGGGAAGACGCCUUCAGGCAGUUCUAUAGAGGGGUAGUGUGAAAAGUGCAUAUUAUCUGGCUCUGCGCAGCCCUGAAGACGCCAUCAGGAUGAAGAGGAAAAGCUGACACUGACCAGACGGAGUUCUUUGUUUGAAUGGAAUUUAUGCAUCAUGUAUGAGAUAUAUGAACGUGCAACAGACUGUUGCUUUGAAGGGUUAAUCCUCUGUUAACGUGUGUCCUUUUUUGGAGCUUAUUUUGCCAAGAAAGAGGUACCCGGACUGUCCAUAACUUUUUGUUUUUAUCGUCUCAUAUCAUCGUAAUCCUAACUGUCCAAAAUUUUAUUACUCUAAUUUUAUUACUAUUUUAAUAACCAUUUUAUUACUAUUAAACUUCUACAAUUUUAAAAACAAGAGAUUGUCAUUUUUCACAGGCAGGGUCAGCCGGGAGCCUCCUUUUCUCCAGACUAAACACCCCCAGCUUCC